UACGUAGGGGGCGAGCGUUACCCGGAAUCACUGGGCGUAAAGGGAGCGUAGGUGGCCUGACAUGUCAACUGUGAAAACCCGGAGCUCAACUCCGGACUUGCAGUUGAAACUGCCAGGCUUGAGGACGGUAGAGGAAGACGGAACUGCCAGUGUAGGGGUAAAAUCCUUAGAUAUUGGCAGGAACGCCGGUGACGAAGGUGGUUUUCUGGGCCGGUUCUGACACUGAUGCUCGAAAGCCAGGGGAGCGAACGGGAUUAGAUACCCCGGUAGUCCUGGCCCUAAACGAUGUUCACUAGGUGUGGGGAGCGGAAAGCUUUCCGUGCUAAAGCUAACGCGAUAAGUGAACCGCCUGGGGAGUACGCCCGCAAGGGUGAA
rnacentral:rRNA from 1 species